rnacentral:tRNA from 5 species
GCGGCCGUAGCUCAGGUGGUUAGAGCGCCAGAUUGUGAUUCUGGAUGUCGCCGGUUCAAGUCCGGUCGGCCGCCCCA